UUUCAGCCCGUUUCACUCGUAAUACAGUAUAAUACUGUAGAAGCAUUGCAUUAUGGGAUUGAUUUUUUUACCGUGCUCAUUUCAAAUUUCUAGGCCAGGCAUACAUUUUAGCUUCUCUCUCAACGCUUUUAGUGUUUCACGUCGACUCUUCAGGGUUUAAUGUUAUCAUUAAACGAUAUUUGAGUGAAUAUAGUGUGCAGUUUUAAGCUUUUGAAGCGUCAGUUUGCCUGAGACGCGGGAUGACUGGACAGCGCUGCUGAGAUGUUAUUUUCUGCCUGAUUAAUCAAAACGUUUGCCUGUGUCGAGAAGACGGAUAAACAAUUGUUCGGCUGAGAAUACGUCUCAAUCAUCUGAUGUAGCUCCAUUGUUUACGCUCUUUGACAUAUCCCCUAAACAUGGCUCAAGAACCAGGAAGGGGGGAAAAUGACCUUCUGUGAAAUAUGGUUAUGUUAACGUAAGUAUUGCACCUAAUUUCACAUGUGAUGUAAUCAGAGACCUGAUGAAUAAGUUCAGAACAAACCUUCAUUUAUUUUUAUUAAAUAUUUUAAUCCCUAUUUUUCAUUGACAAUCAUUUCACUGUGUGUAAUUCUUAGUAUUCAAAUUCUUAAUAUUCAAAGUAUAUUUGUCAGUCCGCUGUCAGUGCAUUACUGUUUAAAGGGUUAGUUCACCAAA